CGGCGAUGCGACUGCUAUAAUGCAGUUGAGCGCUGAAGGUUGGUACUUGUACCAACUGGAUGAGCAGCGAACGGGUGAGUAACGCGUGGGGAAUCUGCCUUUGAGCGGGGGACAACAUUUGGAAACGAAUGCUAAUACCGCAUAAAAACUUUAAACACAAGUUUUAAGUUUGAAAGAUGCAAUUGCAUCACUCAAAGAUGAUCCCGCGUUGUAUUAGCUAGUUGGUGAGGUAAAGGCUCACCAAGGCGAUGAUACAUAGCCGACCUGAGAGGGUGAUCGGCCACAUUGGGACUGAGACACGGCCCAAACUCCUACGGGAGGCAGCAGUAGGGAAUCUUCGGCAAUGGACGAAAGUCUGACCGAGCAACGCCGCGUGAKKRAAGAAGGUUUUCGGAUCGUAAAACUCCUGUUGGUAGAGAAGAACGUUGGUGAGAGUGGAAAGCUCCAUCAAGUGACGGUAACUACCCAGAAAGGGACGGCUAACUACGUGCCAGCAGCCGCGGUAAUACGUAGGUCCCGAGCGUUGUCCGGAUUUAUUGGGCGUAAAGCGAGCGCAGGUGGUUUAUUAAGUCUGGUGUAAAAGGCAGUGGCUCAACCAUUGUAUGCAUUGGAAACUGGUAGACUUGAGUGCAGGAGAGGAGAGUGGAAUUCCAUGUGUAGCGGUGAAAUGCGUAGAUAUAUGGAGGAACACCGGUGGCGAAAGCGGCUCUCUGGCCUGUAACUGACACUGAGGCUCGAAAGCGUGGGGAGCAAACAGGAUUAGAUACCCUGGUAGUCCACGCCGUAAACGAUGAGUGCUAGAUGUAGGGAGCUAUAAGUUCUCUGUAUCGCAGCUAACGCAAUAAGCACUCCGCCUGGGGAGUACGACCGCAAGGUUGAAACUCAAAGGAAUUGACGGGGGCCCGCACAAGCGGUGGAGCAUGUGGUUUAAUUCGAAGCAACGCGAAGAACCUUACCAGGUCUUGACAUACUCGUGCUAUUCCUAGAGAUAGGAAGUUCCUUCGGGACACGGGAUACAGGUGGUGCAUGGUUGUCGUCAGCUCGUGUCGUGAGAUGUUGGGUUAAGUCCCGCAACGAGCGCCAACCCCUAUUGUUAGUUGCCAUCAUUAAGUUGGGCACUCUAACGAGACUGCCGGUGAUAAACCGGAGGAAGGUGGGGAUGACGUCAAAUCAUCAUGCCCCUUAUGACCUGGGCUACACACGUGCUACAAUGGAUGGUACAACGAGUCGCGAGACAGUGAUGUUUAGCUAAUCUCUUAAAACCAUUCUCAGUUCGGAUUGUAGGCUGCAACUCGCCUACAUGAAGUCGGAAUCGCUAGUAAUCGCGGAUCAGCACGCCGCGGUGAAUACGUUCCCGGGCCUUGUACACACCGCCCGUCACACCACGGGAGUUGGGAGUACCCGAAGUAGGUUGCCUAACCGCAAGGAGGGCGCUCCUAAGUAGACCCCAUGUUGGCG
rnacentral:rRNA from 1 species